rnacentral:rRNA from 1 species
CCUACGGGAGGCAGCAGUGAGGAAUAUUGGUCAAUGGCCGUAAGGCUGAACCAGCCAAGUCGCGUGAAGGAAGAAGGAUCUAUGGUUUGUAAACUUCUUUUAUAGGGGAAUAAAGGUAUCCACGUGUGGAUAUUUGCAUGUACCCUAUGAAUAAGCAUCGGCUAACUCCGUGCCAGCCGCCGCGGUAAUACGUAGGUGGCAAGCGUUAUCCGGAUUUACUGGGUGUAAAGGGCGUGUAGGCGGGACUGCAAGUCAGAUGUGAAAACCACGGGCUCAACCUGUGGCCUUGCAGCGCGAACUGGCGUGCUUGAGUCCGCGGAAAGCAGGCGGAAUUCGUCGUGUAGCGGUGAAAUGCUUAGAUAUGACGAAGAACCCCGAUUGCGAAGGCAGCUUGCUGCAGCGGAACUGACGCUGAUGCUCGAAAGCGCGGGUAUCGAACAGGAUUAGAUACCCUUGUAGUC